rnacentral:ncRNA from 1 species
CAUAGGCAGUGGCUUGGUUAAGGGAAUGGAACCCACCGGAGCCGUAGCGAAAGCGAGUCUUCAUAGGGCGAUUGUCACUACUUAUGGACCCGAACCUGGGUGAUCUAUCCAUGACCAGGAUGAAGCUUGGAUGAAACUAAGCAGAGGUCCGAACCGACUGAUGUUGAAGAAUCAGUGGAUGAGUUGUGGUUAGGGGUGAAAUGCCACUUGAACCCAGAGCUAGUUGG